ACAUAGCUUUGUGUUCAGUCAUGAGAGGUAUAUCCUCAUCUUACACAACUGCUCCUGCACUUUUUCACCCUCUGGAAAAUGGAGGCUUAAUUGCUUCCAUAAAGAAUUAUUUCCUGAUCAGUCCACUCAUUGUAAGUUUAUAAGAAUCUCAUGAUUUACAUUUGACUAUCGUUUUGCCUUGGGGUCUGCUGGAUGUGACUCAAGUGCAGGCUGCUGAUUCCUCCUCACACAAAUGAAGCCAAGGAAUUUUUGUGGCAACUGUGGAACUGAAGGACCCAUUGGGAUUUCCCAGUCCUGGCACAUUGGUAUCUUCUACAUCCGGACUGUAACACUAAGAAUCUAUUCACAGACUGCUUCUGUUAUAUACAAGUACAGCUUUUACUGCUGUUCAAAGAUUAGCAAUACUCAUUGUCAGAGUUGCUUCAAAACGGUAUGAAGUUAUCAUACGUAUAAAAGAGACUUCAAAAGACAGAGGGCACACUUAAGUACUUUACUGGUCACUGCAGUUGUCAUUAGUCACAGUUUAAUAGGAUAAAAUUCCAUAAUUUAGUUUCUAAAUGUACCAAACAAGCCUUUCUGUGCCUUUAUCUGAAGAAUACACAAUGGACUUCUCAUUCCUAUAGAACCUGAGUUUCUAUAAGAAAAUAAAUUUUCAAGGAGUAAGUAGCUAUCUUAGAGAUUUCAACUUUCCCCUAUAUUUUGGUUGUAAUUUUUGCUUUUUCUCCCUACUUUCAUAUCUCUGUAAAAUGUCUAAUUCUAGAAUAAUUGCAUUCAUUGUUAUUUGGAUAUUCCCUGCCAAAAGCAUACCCUCUAACAACUAUUUCUGUGGUGUUAGUUGUGUAUCAUUUUUCAUGUCAAUUAGAAAAGCCCUAGCUGAGGCAAUAAAAGAAUUCCAUG